CCUACGGGAGGCAGCAGUGGGGAAUAUUGCGCAAUGGGCGAAAGCCUGACGCAGCGACGCCGCGUGAGGGAUGACGGUCCUCGGAUCGUAAACCUCUGUUAGCAGGGAAGAACGGUCACUGUGCUAAUCAGCAGUGAAUUGACGGUACCUGCAAAGGACGCACCGGCUAAAUCCGUGCCAGCAGCCGCGGUAAUACGGAGGGUGCGAGCGUUGAUCGGAAUUACUGGGCGUAAAGCGCUCGUAGGCGGUAUGUCAAGGGAAGGGUGAAAUCCCCGCGCUCAACGUCGGAACUGCCUUUGAAACUGGCAAACUGGAGUGUGUGAGAGGAUGGUGGAAUGCCAGGUGUAGGAGUGAAAUCCGUAGAUAUCU
rnacentral:rRNA from 1 species